GGUGCCUUUGAACCCUUUAUCCCGGGGUUCUUCGGAAGGUGAGACUUGAAUUCCAUGUAGAGUCUCGCCGUGCACGGUAUCACACUGAUGAUACCUUCAGAGUGCAGGCAUCGCCUACGGUUUUCCGUAGGUCCCCCUAGGGG
rfam:Tomato aspermy virus 3a gene and cp gene for capsid protein, genomic RNA, strain V